CUCGCAGCUGUUUGCACACCUCUCACCUACAGCAGCAGAGAGGCGACUGCGGGAUUUCGGGCAGCAGCGGUCGAGAAAAGAGAGGCCAGGCUAGUGUCUUCUUUGAUAUGAUUUUAAUGGUGACUCUCACUGACAGCUCCGUCAGACCAGCUCGUGUGUUAGCCGGGGCUGUGUUGCAGUGCUGGGUGGGAUCUUACCGACACAAUCCUCCUGCUUGUUUUCCGCCUGGCACCGGAGACACGCGUCUGCAGAUCAAGAAACACGCGUGUCAGUAGUCAGUGUGCUGGGACCUCAAGUUAUUCGUGGGGUGUGUGUGUGUGUGUGUGUGUGUGUGUGUAUAUGCAGCUCUAGCCGCAUUAGCCAGCAUUCGAGCUAAGCUAAGCUAAGCUAUGCUAAGCUAAGCUAGCCGUCCAACCGCCGACACUCACCCAUCACCUGCACCCGGCAGAUGGCACAGGUGUCGCACUCCACGUCCCAGCUCCACAUCGCCACAGCGUUCCACUUCUUCAGGGAGAACAUCUUGUCCCCGCCCGACUUGGAGCCCGAGGAGGUGUUGUGGGUGUUGUGGGUGUUGUGGGAGAGGACCAGACCCGGCUCCUCGCCGUCAUCCAUCUCUGCUGCUCGGCACUGCAAGGGGGUAACGUUAGCC